rnacentral:rRNA from 1 species
GGCGACGGGUGAGUGAUGUAUAGUUAAUCUGCCCUUUAGAGGGGGAUAACAGUUGGAAACGACUGCUAAUACCCCAUACUCCUUUUACAUUAAUUGUAAUUGGGAAACGUUUUUUCGCUAAAGGAUGAGACUAUAUGGUAUCAGGUAGUUGGUGGGGUAAGAGCCUACCAAGCCAAUGACGCCUAGCUGGUCUGAGAGGAUGAUCAGCCACACUGGAACUGAGACACGGUCCAG